UACGUAGGGGGCAAGCGUUGUCCGGAUUUAUUGGGCGUAAAGAGCGUGUAGGCGGUUUGGUAGGUCCGUUGUGAAAACUCGAGGCUCAACCUCGAGACGCCGGCGGAAACCAUCAGGCUAGAGUCCGGAAGAGGAGAGUGGAAUUCCUGGUGUAGCGGUGAAAUGCGCAGAUAUCAGGAGGAACACCGGUGGCGAAGGCGGGUCUCUGGGCCGUUACUGACGCUGAGGAGCGAAAGCGUGGGGAGCGAACAGG
rnacentral:rRNA from 1 species